GGGGUUGUGGCUCAGUGGUAGAGUGCUCGUCUUGCAUGUGUGAGGCACUGAGUUUGAUCCUCAGUACCA
rfam:Ictidomys tridecemlineatus contig043670, whole genome shotgun sequence.